CACUCCUGCGGGAGGCAGCAGUGGGGAAUUUUGGACAAUGGGCGAAAGCCUGAUCCAGCCAUGCCGCGUGCAGGAUGAAGGCCUUCGGGUUGUAAACUGCUUUUGUACGGAACGAAACGGCCUUUUCUAAUAAAGAGGGCUAAUGACGGUACCGUAAGAAUAAGCACCGGCUAACUACGUGCCAGCAGCCGCGGUAAUACGUAGGGUGCAAGCGUUAAUCGGAAUUACUGGGCGUAAAGCGUGCGCAGGCGGUUAUGUAAGACAGUUGUGAAAUCCCCGGGCGCAACCUGGGAAGUGCAUCUGUGACUGCAUAGGUAGAGUACGGUAGAGGGGGAUGGAAUUCCGCGUGUAGCAGUGAAAUGCGUAGAUAUGCGGAGGAACACCGAUGGCGAAGGCAAUCCCCUGGACCUGUACUGACGCUCAUGCACGAAAGCGUGGGGAGCAAACAGGAUUAGAAACCCUAGUAGUCCCAUGAU
rnacentral:rRNA from 1 species